rnacentral:lncRNA from 1 species
GCAUGACGUAAAACAGAGAAUAAAAGAAUUCAACUUUAUUUAUAACUAAUAUAGGACAAUGCUGUUGAUUAAAAAAUACUCCAUUCCAGGACCUUUAGUUUUCCAAAUAAUUAAUAUUACCAAUAAUUGAUAAGUUCCAGUUCGACGGGUUCAAACAGAAAGAUUUGAAAGCAGAGACAAUUGUGUAUCUUAUAAUCGGCAUGACUUUAUCAGAUGACAGUACUAAUACUAAAAUAAGGCUUGCGCAUAGUUAUAUUAAUUCAGUCACGGACCCGCGAUAUCACGGGUGUGUUCUAGUAUAUAUUAUAUAGAGAGAGAAUAAUCAAACGUUGUCUCAAAUAUACAUUCUAUUUUUAUUCGGAUAGUACAGGAUAGAACUGGGAAGCUGAUCAAGUUUGAUCCCGUUUCUAACAGUAACAUUGAAAGUCAUGUGACCACCAUAUUUGGUCUUGUUUUGGGGCCAUUUUUCUUCAAAUGAGACGAGCUGUAUCAACUCAAAUCAUGUUAUACGUUAUACACAACUGCGUGUAUUUCAUGCCGCAACUAGGGACAAUAUUUUUUUUCGGUCUGUUCGUCCGGUCUUUCGUUCGUCCGUAUGUCCUGUUUCGGUUAAAGUUUUUGGUCAAGGUA